rnacentral:rRNA from 1 species
ACGAACGCUGGCGGCGUGCCUAAUACAUGCAAGUCGAACGCAUUUUCUUUCACCGUAGCUUGCUCCACCGAAAGAAAAUGAGUGGCGAACGGGUGAGUAACACGUGGGUAACCUGCCCAUCAGCGGGGGAUAACACUUGGAAACAGGUGCUAAUACCGCAUAAUUCCAUUUACCGCAUGGUAGAUGGGUGAAAGGCGCUUUUGCGUCACUGAUGGAUGGACCCGCGGUGCAUUAGCUAGUUGGUGGGGUAACGGCCUACCAAGGCUGCGAUGCAUAGCCGACCUGAGAGGGUGAUCGGCCACACUGGGACUGAGACACGGCCCAGACUCCUACGGGAGGCAGCAGUAGGGAAUCUUCGGCAAUAGACGCAAGGCUGACCGAGCAACGCCGCGUGAGUGAAGAAGGGUUUCGGAUCGUAAAACUCUGUUGUUAGAGAAGAACAAGGAUGAGAGUGGAAAGUUCAUCCCUUGACGGUAUCUAACCAGAAAGCCACGGCUAACUACGUG